rnacentral:lncRNA from 1 species
AAAGGGCCCAAUUGAACACUGGUGCAAAAGGGAAAGACUGGCCACUCAAAUUACCCAUUCAAGGUAAAAUGCGUGGACCCAGCCUGGCAAAUGGGUCAACACGCCUUCCCCCACCCCCCAAAUGUUACUGCUUCUCACACUCAAGCAUUUAUUUUAUUAUUAAAAGAAAAAAGUUUGUUUUAAAGCCAAUCUUUUGCUAAAGAAAACACUUUAACUUCUGUUUCUUAAAAAAAAACUUUAUUACUCCCACAACUCACCCCCCAGACGAAUGGCCAAGCUUUAACCGCCUCAAAAUCCGACUAUGGCAAACGGAGUCGAGCCAUCAGCUGUCGUGAGCGUGAUGCAACUCCGGUAAGUCUCCUCCUUUCUCUUAUAUCUUAGUAUAUUUGAUGAAAAUAGAAAAAAAGAAAAACGAAAUCAAACAGCAAUCACCACCUUUGAAUAUCUCUUGGUUGCUUUUUAUUGAUUUUUUUGAAUGUAUUUUGUAUACAACUUGUGUUCUAUCUCUUUGAGAAAAAUGAAAAAGAAAAGAAAAACCACCCCCUUACAAUUAAAAAAAAUCGAAGGCUUUAUAGCCUAUACAAACGGUUCCUUGCUAUUCUCCAUUUUGCAGGUACGUGGAGACGUGAAGAGUGCGUUCAUGGGCGUGUCAACGUGAAAUAUGGAAGGUGGAAGCGUGGGCUGAAGUAAUGGCGCGCGUAGAGGCUGGCUCGAAGGCAGCAGCAGCGCAAGGGGGAAAGGGAAUGGGUUCUGAAAACUCCAAAAACCUGGGCCUACUGGCUUUGGUUCAUUUCAUUCAGUAUUAGGCCAUUGUAAAACUUUGUGGGCCUGUUUAAUUUGGGUUUAAUGCAAGGCCGGGCAAAAUAUGGGUUUUACAAAAAAGAUUCUUGAAAAUAUCAACUCUCGUCCUCCCAUUACUUCUCUACACCAAUUCAUUAAAAUAAAAUUUUAUCAUGACUGAUCACAUUAACUCAAACAUCUUAUUAUCAGACUAUUUGUGAAACCCAAAUGGUCAGUUGUUUACUCAAAUGGACUCACACUAAUCUCUUAAUUCUCUAAAAAAGGCUCUCGUAUUCAUCAAAGAGAGCAAAGGGAGUUCACUCAUACAAAAACUAUGCCCAUACUUGGUCAGGCACUUGAUAACAGUUCUAGCAACUCUUGGCAUUACAAUAUGAACUAUAUAUAGCUACUGAUAAUAUUUCUAUUAACAAUAUCAAUUAUGUAUAAUUAAUUAAUACACUAACAAAAUUUUUUUUCUUUUAUAUAAUUACAUAAGUAUAUUAAGAAAUUAUUACGUAUUCUUAAUAGAUAUUUUUUAAAAAUAUAUAGGAAAUAUACCGAUUUGUUAAAUAUUUUUGUAAAAAUAAGAAACUUCAGGACUUACAUAUAAAAUAAUAAUAUUUUAAAUUAUCGUAUUUAUCUC